GUUCUGCUCGGAUCCUGUUAUAACCCGGUGUUUUCGUAAUCUAGGUGACCCAAAUAAUACGCUGGUAUACUUAGUUUGAUUUCGAAAAAAAUCAAUUUUUGGUGAAAAAAUUCGAUACGGGGGGGUAUACCCGAAAAAUGAAAAAACCCAAACUUUGAAGGUCGAUAUCUCGGCUUCUAUGGGAGCUAUCGGGAAAAUUCCAACGGUUUUGUCUUAGUUUCGUCAUUUUGAAUCCAACGAGACCAUCCGCAAGGUCGUAGCUCUUACGAUAGCCGAGAUAUGGCAUUUUUGAUGCCCAUUUUUGGCCUCAAAAACGGACGUCGAAAACGACUUUUUCAGGAUUUUCAAAGUGCUCUCAUUCCCUUAGUUCUGCUCGGAUCCUCUUAUAACCCGGUGUUUUCGUAAUCUAGGUGACCCAAAUAAUACGCUGGUAUACUUAGUUUGAUUUCGAAAAAAAUCAAUUUUUGGUGAAAAAAUUCGAUACGGGGGGGUAUACCCGAAAAAUGAAAAAACCCAAACUUUGAAGGUCGAUAUCUCGGCUUCUAUGGGAGCUAUCGGGAAAAUUCCAACGGUUUUGUCUUAGUUUCGUCAUUUUGAAUCCAACGAGACCAUCCGCAAGGUCGUAGCUCUUACGAUAGCCGAGAUAUGGCAUUUUUGAUGCCCAUUUUUGGCCUCAAAAACGGACGUCGAAAACGACUUUUUCAGGAUUUUCAAAGUGCUCUCAUUCCCUUAGUUCUGCUCGGAUCCUCUUAUAAC
rnacentral:lncRNA from 1 species